rnacentral:rRNA from 1 species
GACGUAGGGCGCGAGCGUUGUCCGGAUUUAUUGGGCGUAAAGAGCUCGUAGGCGGCUUGUCGCGUCGUUCGUGAAAACUUGGGGCUUAACCCUGAGCUUGCGGUCGAUACGGGCAUGACUGGAGUUCGGCAGGGGGAGACUGGAAUUCCUGGUGUAGCGGUGAAAUGCGCAGAUAUCAGGAGGAACACCGGUGGCGAAGGCGGGUCUCUGGGCCGAUACUGACGCUGAGGAGCGAAAGCGUGGGGAGCGAACAGG